GUAUAUUAAUAUUUUACAUGUAUGGAUUCAUGAGAUUUCUGUGGUCACAGCUGCAACAAAAUGUAUUAUUUUCUUUCAUCACAAAUGAGAGCAGUGUCCAAUAUUUGAAGAACAGCAAACUCGAAGGUGAAUAAAGAAAGCGACAAACGUUAUACAGAAAAUGACAGAAACUGGGUCCAAUAUAUAGAGACAUAUAUUCAUAACCUCCGAUUUACGCAAACAUGCACAAAACAGGCACCAGUGGGUAUGUAUUUCUCUUUUAUACAUAAUCAUCAUUUUCUAAACUGUCUCCAACACUAAGAUGUCUCCCUCUCCUAUAACUUAAUUGUCCUUCACUAUAUUACCUGAUGCUAAAGUAGAAAC
rnacentral:lncRNA from 1 species